GAUGAACGCUGGCGGCGUGCCUAAUACAUGCAAGUCGAGCGAACGGACGAGGAGCUUGCUCCUCUGACGUUAGCGGCGGACGGGUGAGUAACACGUGGAUAACCUACCUAUAAGACUGGGAUAACUUCGGGAAACCGGAGCUAAUACCGGAUAAUAUAUUGAACCGCAUGGUUCAAUAGUGAAAGACGGUUUUGCUGUCACUUAUAGAUGGAUCCGCGCCGCAUUAGCUAGUUGGUAAGGUAACGGCUUACCAAGGCAACGAUGCAUAGCCGACCUGAGAGGGUGAUCGGCCACACUGGAACUGAGACACGGUCCAGACUCCUACGGGAGGCAGCAGUAGGGAAUCUUCCGCAAUGGGCGAAAGCCUGACGGAGCAACGGCGCGUGAGUGAUGAAGGUCUUCGGAUCGUAAAACUCUGUUAUUAGGGAAGAACAAAUGUGUAAGUAACUAUGCACGUCUUGACGGUACCUAAUCAGAAAGCCACGGCUAACUACGUG
rnacentral:rRNA from 1 species